rnacentral:rRNA from 1 species
GCGCCGGGUGCGCCCGGCCGCCCGUCCGUCGGCGCAACGAACCAACCCCGGCGCAGGACGCGCCAAGGAACCGAAAAAAUAGAGCAGGGGGAGACCCCCCGUCGCGAGACGGGGGCGUCGUCCUCCCGUAUCGAGUCAAAACGACUCUCGGCAACGGAUA